GGGCCCGCACAAGCGGUGGAGUAUGUGGUUUAAUUCGAUGCAACGCGAAGAACCUUACCAGGGUUUGACAUCCUGCGAAUCUCUUGGAAACGAGAGAGUGCCUUCGGGAACGCAGUGACAGGUGGUGCAUGGCUGUCGUCAGCUCGUGUCGUGAGAUGUUGGGUUAAGUCCCGCAACGAGCGCAACCCACGUCUUUAGUUGCCAGCAUUUAGUUGGGCACUCUAGAGAGACUGCCGGUGAUAAACCGGAGGAAGGUGUGGAUGACGUCAAGUCAUCAUGCCCCUUACAUCCUGGGCUACACACGUACUACAAUGCUACGGACAAAGGGCAGCAAACUCGCGAGUAGGAGCG
rnacentral:rRNA from 1 species